rnacentral:rRNA from 1 species
GAUGAACGCUAGCUACAGGCUUAACACAUGCAAGUCGAGGGGCAGCAUGAUUGAAGCUUGCUUCAAUCGAUGGCGACCGGCGCACGGGUGAGUAACACGUAUCCAACCUGCCGAUAACUCGGGGAUAGCCUUUCGAAAGAAAGAUUAAUACCCGAUAGUAUAGUAUUUCCGCAUGGUUUCACUAUUAAAGAACUUCGGUUAUCGAUGGGGAUGCGUUCCAUUAGAUAGUUGGCGGGGUAACGGCCCACCAAGUCAACGAUGGAUAGGGGUUCUGAGAGGAAGGUCCCCCACAUUGGAACUGAGACACGGUCCAAACUCCUACGGGAGGCAGCAGUGAGGAAUAUUGGUCAAUGGACGAGAGUCUGAACCAGCCAAGUAGCGUGAAGGAUGACUGCCCUAUGGGUUGUAAACUUCUUUUAUACGGGAAUAAAGUGGAGUAUGCAUACUCCUUUGUAUGUACCGUAUGAAUAAGGAUCAGCUAACUCCGUG